rnacentral:tRNA from 1 species
CCCCCGAUAGCUCAGUUGGAAGAGCGCGAGACUGUAAUGGAUAGAAAAGAUCAUCUUGAGGUCGCUGGUUCGAUCCCGGCUCGGGGGA